AGACAAGCUACUGCUCCAGAAAGUUCCCUUGCUGUUUUUGACGACUGUCAUAUGUUUAAUAAAAGGCUAGAAUUCAAGAAAGAGCCACCAGAGGGAUUCUAGCAUGAAAAAUGCACUGGACAUGUUGACAAAUGAACUUCGGUGAAGAUGUCCUUCUGAGGUCACAGGAACAAAACAUCAUCCUGGUACAGGAAGCCUGCUUCAUCCCAGCAUGUUUGACGUGCACGUGAGGAUGCUAGUAAGCACACAACUGAGCAUAUGAGGAUGCUGCAACUCUGAUGCUGGACUACUUCUUUUGUCCUCUAACUACAGCCUUCCCUGCGAGCUUUAGAGAGACUCAGAACUGGUCCAAGUGCUAAGAAUAAUUGACUGUGGAGUCUUCAUCCCUGAAAAGGUCGACUACCACACCCUUCUGUGGCAGUAGAAAGAACACAAAAACCAGAGGAUGGAGAGGAACAGUGUGUGACACGCAAUGUUGAAUGUGUGACCUUGCAGCAUCUGUGGCUACCACACAAGACCUUUUCAAGAUGGGAUGCAUCAACCUUCCACAGUGGAUGAAAAAGAGGCUUAUGAGGUCUCUCUUCUCCACGAGGAACUGUGGACAGAAUGGCAGCCAUGAGGAAGACAAACAACAGAUGCCAGUGAGAGGAGACGGAAAGGAAACUCUCAAACAUCAUGGUGGGCGCGUAAAUUAUUCUGGCUCUACGAACAUCAGAGUGGAGAUUUAUCAAAGACUAAAAAUAAAACAACCGUGUGUUCGACGCCACUCUGGAACUACAUCCUUAAAAAGUCCAUGUCAACAUUCCACAGAGACACUUAAAAUCCAUGUUUAUUGUGGCAAUAUUUACAAUGGCCUAGUUAUGAAAUCAGCGUAGGUAUCCGAUAACAGAUAGCUUAGACACACAAUAGAGUUUUGUUCAGCCAUAGGGAAGAAUAAAAUCAUAGCAUUUGUAUGACAACAGCUAGAACCAGGGGUCAUCAUACUAAAUGAAAUAAACCAGAACCAGAAAGUCAGAUAUCACAUUUUCUCUUAUAUGUGGAUCUGAGAUUGUGUGCUCAUACAUACAUUAACACAUAUAGCAUGAAAGUAUAAGGGUGAUUACCUGGGACAGGGCAGGGAGCUAAUUGGGGUGAGGAGGAGAGGAAGCGAAAGGAGGACGUGCAGAUGAGUCAAUGUAGUCAAAAGUAUUGAUGUGUAUGAAAAUGAUUUUACGAUGCUCAUCACCAUGUGUGAUGCAUACACAGCAAUUAAAACGACAUCACUAGAACGUGUGCUUGAUUUUAUUCUUUAUUAUACGUAAUCAUCUUAACUAAGGUAACAUUCAGUUUACCUGAUUGUUUUAGAUUUAAGCUUAAAGUAUUUGCCUAUGUUUCCAUGUCUACUCUGGUAGCAAGUUAAACUAUUCAAAAAGCAGGUCACCAAUAUAAAAUGAUUCAUUAGUAAAAGCUUUGAAUUUUGUACAAGCCAAACUGGGUGAAAACUUCAUCAGUAUCCAAAAUGAUACUUAAAAUACCAUUGGUUUUACAUACAUACAUACAUACAUACAUACACACACACACACAGUCAUAGUUUGUAACUAAUUUUUGUAAGUACUUGGAGUCUCUUUAAAAGGGCUUCAAUAAAUCUUAGACAACAUAGUUCUUUUUUUUUUUACAGAGUUAUUUCAUGUGAAGUUACCAGUAGAACAUGAUUUUCUGUGAUACACUCUAGGACCACUGUAGACCACUGUAGAAUGCUAUACAUUUUUUUAUUUCCUUAGAUCCAUCUUGAGUAAAGUGAUUCAUAUAAACUUGGAUUAUUAAUGCCUAAUAAUUACAUGCAUUUUAUGUUUUUCUUUCUUUCUGCUUUGUUGUUGUUGUUGUUGUAGUUUUUGAGGCAGAACCUUACACUGUAGUGCAAACACACCUUGACUUUAUUGCAAUCUCCCUGUCUUAGCCCCAGGUGCUGGAAUUAAGGCUGUGAGACAACAAGCCCAACUAAAGCUAUGUAUAUUUAUAUUUAUAUGGAGAUUUCUUGAGCAAUUCAAGACUUCAAGGACCCAAGCAACCAAAAAUAAAGAAUAUCACAUAAUUUUAAUUUGUUAAAAUCUUUUAGGGUUACAGAAAGUCCAUAGAGUACAAGCAUAUAUUUCUUUUUAUUUUUUUCUUUAGAAUAAAUCUCAUUAAAAGCUACCAAUUUCACAAAGGCUAUAUCUUUCUGUAUAGUUUGGUUUCUGUAAGAAUCAAUGCAACAUCCACCCAGUAAAUAUAAUUCCUAAUACAUGAGUCUUCCAAGAACAUAGGAAACAAGCAUAUAUAAUUUCUAUCUUUACUAUCUAUUUACUUAUAUCUACAUACUUAUCUAUGUAAUUUAUAUUGUUACUAUAUACUUAUACCUAUAAAGUUAUCUAUACUAUCUAUGUACUUAUAUCUAAUUCUAAAUAAUAUUUAUUCAUUAUGAUAAAGUAAUAUAACUGUGACAGUCAAGUAAAUAAAUAAUUAAUUUUCUAUUUUAUGAGACUGUUACAGAAGCAGAUUUAGAGGAUUGCAGAGACCAUAUGGUCCCACACAUG